UAGGGAAUCUUCGGCAAUGGACGAAAGUCUGACCGAGCAACGCCGCGUGAGUGAAGAAGGUUUUCGGAUCGUAAAACUCUGUUGUUAGAGAAGAACAAGGACGUUAGUAACUGAACGUCCCCUGACGGUAUCUAACCAGAAAGCCACGGCUAACUACGUGCCAGCAGCCGCGGUAAUACGUAGGUGGCAAGCGUUGUCCGGAUUUAUUGGGCGUAAAGCGAGCGCAGGCGGUUUCUUAAGUCUGAUGUGAAAGCCCCCGGCUCAACCGGGGAGGGUCAUUGGAAACUGGGAGACUUGAGUGCAGAAGAGGAGGGUGGAAUUCCAUGUGUAGGGGUGAAAUGCGUAGGUAUAUGGAGGAACACCAGUGGCGAAGGCGGCUCUCUGGUCUGUAACUGACGCUGAGGCUCGAAAGCGUGGGGAGCAAACAGG
rnacentral:rRNA from 1 species